GAGAGAGAGAGAGAGAGAGAGGUGGCGUGGUCGAGAGAGAGAGAGAGAGAGUGUGGUGGCGUGUUCGAGAGAGAGGUGGCGUGGUCAAGAGAGAGAUAGAGAGUGGUGGCGUGGUCGGGAGAGAGAGAGAGUGGUCGGGAGAGAGAGAGAGAGAGAGGUGGCGUGGUCGAGAGAGAGAGAGAGUGGUGGCGUGGUCGAGAGAGAGAGAGAGAGAGAGAGAGUGGUGGCGUGGUCGAGAGAGAGAGAGAGAGAGUGGUGGCGUGGUCGAGAGAGAGAGAGAGAGAGGUGGCGUGGUCGGGAGAGAGAGAGAGGUGGCAUGGUCAAGGGAGAGAUAGAGAGUGGUGGCGUGGUCGGGAGAGAGAGAGAGAGAGAGAGAGGGUGGCGUGGUCGAGAGAGAGUGGUGGCGUGGUCGGGAGAGAGAUAGAGAG
ensembl:lncRNA